rnacentral:rRNA from 1 species
UACGGAGGGUGCAAGCGUUGCUCGGAAUCACUGGGCGUAAAGCGACCGCAGGCGGCCUGACAAGUCGGAUGUGAAAGCCCUGGGCUCAACUCAGGAAUUGCAUUCGAAACUGGCAGGCUCGAGUACGGGAGAGGGGGGUGGAAUUCCUGGUGUAGGGGUGAAAUUCGUUGAUAUCGGGAGGAACAUCAGUGGCGAAGGCGGCCAUCUGGACCAACACUGACACUGAGGCACAAAAGCGUGGGGAGCAAACAGG